CAAUUGAACACUGAGGUACCAGGCGAAGGAACCUAAGCAAGCCAGGGGAAGGAGGCUGUGUUUCACUACAGAAUUUGAAACCAGAUCCCAGAUGUCCUAGAACACAGCAAAGUCUCAAAGAGGAAGACGUCAUAAUGGGAAUAGAGGCAUUAAAAUAUCCAGUCCAGGGCUCACAUCCUAUCGAAGCACCCCUUCUCCAGCAGCUCUUGCUGUGAGUCCUUUGCAACCGUCUCCUUCUGCCUACAGGGAGUCAUCACACUAUGGAUUCUUCUACAUCUUUUACAACACGCUGUUACAAACCUCAAGUUCAUCUUUCAACUUCCUCAGUUGUGGCCUUCUCGAGACUCCAGCUGAAUCCCUGGCCAAGGAAUCACUUGCUGGAAGUGUCAAGCAAAUAGCAACAUGGACCUCCAGAGUCUGAGGACCCCUGCCUCCCCGAUACUUGGAUGCGACACCAUAUGAUAAGUACAGGAUGGGACAUGGUAGGGUGAUGCUCCCUUCAUGGGGAGAACCAAGAGUACCUUUGUGUUGUUAAUUUUCACAUGGGAUGGAAACAUGAGCAGGACCCAGGCCGUCAGAUUUGCCUCCCGUCAUCUUUCCACUAACUGCCCAAAAUCACAAGUGAAUUUCUACAUACGGAGCCAUGAACUUAUAGCUGAUACAUUAUAUUCUUUCAUAGCUUGUUGGAAGUGGCAGAAAUGCAAUAAGUAAUUGCUUGUCAUUGCUUCACAUCUAGCCACCACAAUGAAUGACUACAAUACAUCAUCUAGAGCCCGGCAUGUUGCAAGCCCUCAAUUACAGACACAAUUGUCAUGACAUACUGACAGCCCAUCAACCAAAAGAGGCAAAGCUAUCUUUCUUUCCUUGAACAGCCUAACUAAAGUUUAUGGAACUACUUUCAGUUACUUAUGAAAUUAAUUUGCAUCUACCUCACUUAUUCAUUCUACUUUUAAUUGACAAAUAAAAAUUACAUAUGCUAUCUAUUCAUGGGACCCAAAGUAAUGCUGACAUCAUGCCUAUUUUAUUAAAUGUAAGCCAGACAUGAUUAUCAUAAAAAACACAUCUGGAAGAUAACCAAAUGCUUACGCUGAUCUUUCUGUAGUAGGAUUGUAUCUUUUCACCAGAGAAUUCUAAGGCAUUUUUUUCUGUAAAUUGUAUACAUUUUGUAUGACAGCAUAUUACAUUCUUAAUAAGCUAUCAAACUAUAUUAUUGUGUAGAAAAAUUAGUAAAUGAAAUAUGAUAGAAUUAAUAGAGAGCAAGAGCCUCUAACACUGUGGAAGUAACUAACUCAGAGAGCCCUUACCUGGCAUGUGUGAAGCACUUUGCUUGACAUCCAGCACCACAUUUGAGUAUUAACUUAUUAAUUCUAACAUUAAUAAUUACAGACUUGAAAGGAUUAUUGGAGAACUAAUAAAAACAAACAAGCAAAAAACUCAAAGCCCCCCAAUAGCAAACUAGGUAAACCUAGAAGCCUGAGAUCCUCAGUCUCUCUCUCUCUCUCUCUCUCUCUCUCUCUCUCUCUUUCCCUCCCCCUCGAUGCAUGUGUGUUCUUUCUAAAAGAAAUAACUUCAAAUACUGAUAUUCCUAUGAUUCCCCAGGUGUUAGACUUUAAUAAAAAUGGUUGAGCAUAUUAAAUAGGAUACUGGUGCUGCUCAGAUCUCCAAGAUACCAGCCUGAGGCUAGACAGCUCUCAUAGACUAUCUCUACAAUGAGCUCUCAGCCUUCACUUUCCAUUCUAAGAUUAAACGAUUUAGCUAAUAACAAGACUAUAUGGAUCAGCCAAAAACAAAUAUGCAUGUCUAGGCGUCUGUCCUUUGAAAAUUCUACGAGUUUGUCUUUGAGGGAGCUUAAAUGCUGCCAGAAACAGAUUCAAAUGAAAGCUAGUCAAACCCUGCACAAUGUAAACACUAUCCGUGGGUGCUGCAAAGGUACCUUAUGAUCAGUGGUAGCUUCUUACCUCUAUUUAUAAACCCCCUAAUAUGUGAUGUCAUGUCUUUUAGCUUUCUCUUAGUCCGUUCUCUCCUGAGCUGCAUUUAAUUCAGAACUUUGGCAUGUAUAUCUAAACAGCAUAGGUAUUUUGUAAGCCCUCAUGCUGAUCUGACCAUAGAUUUUUGGCUGCAGAAAGCCCAGUUAUGAGUUGCUCCACCAGAAUCUCCAUGUGCAUUGCUUCCUUAACAUAAGAAAACUAAAUGUGGUCACUUGCCAGGGGAGACUCUGGACAAGCAUAUAGGAAAAGACAUUGAGGAACCGUUAAGAAUCAUCCCAAGUACUCAGGAAACAAAGGAAUUCGACCACAGGAAAACAGAAGAAACGCCCAAGACGGGAUAAAAAUGCUGAAUCAACAUUUGGAAGAAAAGUUCUCCUUCUAAGGAAUGCACAGAAUCCUACAAACAGACGGUUAUUUUGAAAUACCUUUUUUGGGUGGCAUCCUGAAGGUAUCCUGCCAGAAUGUCUCUAAUCAGGAAUUGCAAGUUGAAGGGGGCAAAACUUGCAGGUUUGAUCUCGUACCUCCACACACUGCCUACUGCCUGCCACAGAGUCUCCCUGGUGCCACUUCACAGUCUGAAACAUAAGAAGGUACUAAUUUCCUCACUAUUAAAUUUUCAUGGCUGUUUAGUUUACCAUUUAAGAAUGAAGCAAUCAGGUCAAAGGGUCCCAUUUGUACCUUAUACUCAAAAUUGGUGUGAUCCUAUAUGCCAUAUUCAGCCUAAAUCUAUUUUCUUUCCAUUUUGUCUGAACUUUUCUGUCUCCCUUAUAAAGUCCUACAUCUUAGGGCUUUGUCCUAAUUACAUAUAGUGAGGGCAGUGUCAGUUCACUCUUAGAAAGGUGAGAAAUACUAGCCACUAGGUUUACUUGGUAAAUUAAAUGAGUAAGUAACGAAGCUACGCCCACACCUGAACUCCAGGUCAAGGCUGCACAGCUAAGAGCCUUCAACUUAGAAUUUAUCUUCAACCUAUGGGGCAUGACAUGACCCACUGUACCCUUUUUCAACUUUUGUGAAGUUAAAACCACCUCUAAGAGAAAACUGUUA